rnacentral:rRNA from 1 species
ACCGGAUAGGACGAAAGUUUAAAGGUGCUUCGGCACCACUGAUGGAUGAGCCUGCGGCGCAUUAGCUAGUUGGUAGGGUAAAGGCCUACCAAGGCGACGAUGCGUAGCCGACCUGAGAGGGUGAACGGCCACACUGGGACUGAGACACGGCCCAGACUCCUACGGGAGGCAGCAGUAGGGAAUCUUCGGCAAUGGGCGAAAGCCUGACCGAGCAACGCCGCGUGAAUGAUGAAGGCCUUCGGGUUGUAAAAUUCUGUUAUAAGGGAAGAAUGGCUCUAGUAGGAAAUGGCUAGAGUGUGACGGUACCUUAUGAGAAAGCCACGGCUAACUACGUGCCAGCAGCCGCGGUAAUACGUAGGUGGCGAGCGUUAUCCGGAAUUAUUGGGCGUAAAGAGCGCGCAGGUGGUUGAUUAAGUCUGAUGUGAAAGCCCACGGCUUAACCGUGGAGGGUCAUUGGAAACUGGUCAACUUGAGUG